rnacentral:rRNA from 1 species
UGGGGAAUAUUGCACAAUGGGCGAAAGCCUGAUGCAGCGACGCCGCGUGAGGGAUGACGGCCUUCGGGUUGUAAACCUCUUUCAGCAGGGACGAAGCGCAAGUGACGGUACCUGCAGAAGAAGCACCGGCUAACUACGUGCCAGCAGCCGCGGUAAUACGUAGGGUGCAAGCGUUGUCCGGAAUUACUGGGCGUAAAGAGUUCGUAGGCGGUUUGUCGCGUCGUUUGUGAAAACCAGCAGCUCAACUGCUGGCUUGCAGGCGAUACGGGCAGACUUGAGUACUGCAGUGGAGACUGGAAUUCCUGGUGUAGCGGUGAAAUGCGCAGAUAUCAGGAGGAACACCGGUGGCGAAGGCGGGUCUCUGGGCAGUAACUGACGCUGAGGAACGAAAGCGUGGGUAGCGAACAGG